ensembl:processed_transcript
UAUGAUUUCUUUUCAUUGUAGGUGAGCUCCUUUUCACUGAUGAUCCUGAAAGGAUGUGAGUUAAAAUCUUAGAACCGAAAGCACCGAACAGCUCCUACUUCUUCCUGAUUCUCUUGAAAGACCUUGUAGCAUAAUCUAAGGUCAGCAAAUGAAGUUUCUGGCUACCAACAUAAAAGAACUUUAAGAAUCAGUUCCCUGUAGGGAAAAUAACGUCUCAAAAUAAAAGGAUGGAAAUAGCACACUUUUUUUUUUUAAGCAGAAAAUAUUAUACAGAGGAUCAAGCAACAGAAUAUACUGAAGAAAAAUAAGAUCAAAGCAUUAAACAUAAAAAACAACCUCCAGAAUGACAAUGAUAUUAAAUCAGCUAACAGAAAUGUCACCUCUCACAAAUUCACAAAAUUCAUCUACUAAUUUGAAGAAAAGGAUUUCCAAGAAAAACUAUUUAAAUCUCCUUCCUUUAGAUCAAAAGAUUACUGGAAAGCAACAUGAAUAUCC